CCCUUAGAUGUCCUUGGCCGCACGCGCGUUACACUGAUGCAUUCAACGAGCUUAUAACCUUGGCCGAGAGGCCUGGGCAAUCUUGUUAACGUGCAUCGUGAUAGGGAUAGAUUAUUGAAAUUAUUAAUCUUGAACGAGGAAUUCCUAGUAAACGCAGAUCAUCAAUCUGCAUUGAUUACGUCCCUGCCCUUUGUACACACCGCCCGUCGCACCUACCGAUUGGAUGGUCCGGUGAAGCCUCGGGAUUGUGGUUCUUGCCGCUUUAUUGUGGCGUGACCGCGAGAACUUGUCUAAACCUUAUCAUCUAGAGGAAGGUGAAGUCGUAACA
rnacentral:rRNA from 1 species